GCGAUACGGGCGGUGCAGCGCAGCCUCCCCGCCCCGCGCUCCCCGGACAGGCACCUGCAGGUAAGCAGCAAGCAUGAGCUUGGCAACAUGCGACCAUGAGUGCCAGGACCGUGUGAUCUGAACUGCGUCUUCCACUGAUUUCCCAGCACUGAGGUGUUGUUGAUCCUGUACUAUGGAGGACUGCCUUCACACCUCCUCCGAAAACCUCUCCAAGCUGGUGAGCUGGGCCCACAGCCAUGGGACCAUCUGCAGCCUCAUCCCCAACCUCAAGCACCUGCUUUCCGAGGGGGCCCAUGGCAACCUGACGGCCAUGUGGGGCUGUAGUGCUGGCCAUGCCUACCACUGGCCCCUGGCUGCCACUUGCCGGGCUGGCUCCCAGGAGCGUGUCUGCUUCCAGGACAGCCGCAGCUUCAACUCGGACAGUCCCAGCAUGCUGGGUGUGCCAUCAGAGGCACAGGCCAGCCCCCUGGAGCGCUACCCGGGUCGGACGGGGAAGACCAAGCUGGAUUGCACCCGCACUCGCGACUCCUGUGACUUCUCCUAUUGCAGCGAGCCAUCGGAGCUGGGUGAGCCUGUGGAGGAGUACGAGGAUGAGGCCACUCUCUUCGACAUGGUCUGUGAGUCCUCUGUCACUGACGAGGACAGUGACUUUGAGCCGCACUCCCACCGUGCCCCCGCUGGUCCCCGCAAGCGUCCGGCUGCCGGGCUGCCCACGGCUGCCCAGGCGCAGCCUGCUGAUGAGGGCGGCAGUGACGUGCUCCUCAAGAAGAUCAAGCAGGAGCUCCCUGAGGACUACUAUAUAGUGGCCAAUGCUGAGCUGACCGCUGGUGCCGACGGGCCAGCCCUGGCCCUGACGCAGAUGUCCAAGCCCAAGCCACAGCCCCCGCCCGGCCCCUCCUGCCUGGUACCCACCAGAGCUGUGCCCCAGCCUGUCGCCGGUCCCGACCCUGACCCCCAGCGCCUCUGCUCCUCCCCACCUGGCCUGCCUCGCAUGGCCCCACAGCGGCCGCCCCGGGGACCCCUGGCCUCCCCAGCACGGGGGGUAGGCGGUGGCCCUGUGGCUGCCCUGCAAGUGCCAGCCACCAGCUCCAAUGCCACCACCACCACUGGGAAACCCAUCAGCAUCCCCCUCUCAGCGCUGCAGCUGCCUGGUCAAGAGGAGCCACCGGCCGCUGAGGAGACUCUCCCAUCUGUCCCACAGCUGACUCCAGGUGGUGAGGUGGCUGGCUCACCCUCGGUGAGUGCUGAGCCUGAGGUCAGCUCCAGCCAGCAGCAGUCCCAUGCCGUGCCCACCACCACUCCUGAGGCAGUGGUGCAGUUGAUGCCAGACCAGGAUGAGAGAGCAGCAGAGCUCAGCAGAGAGCAGAAUGAGAAGACCAUUCGCAGCACGCAGACAGCUCUCCGCAAUUUCCGAGAGUUCCUCAUCUCCAAGUACCCCUCUGAGACCCGUGAGAUCUAUGUCAUUCCGUGCAAAGAGCUUGAUGCCUACCUUGCUUCCUUUUUUGUGGAUGCCAGACAAAAGGAUGGGUCUGAAUAUGAGCCAAACAGUCUGGCCAACUAUCAGUGUGGACUGGAGCGGUAUCUCAAAGAGCACAGGUAUGGAUACAGUAUUACGAGGGAUAAGGAGUUCAAGAGGUCCCAGGAAGCUCUAAAGCAAAAGCAGAUAGAGCUGAGGUGUAAAGGAAAAGGAAACAAGCCACACAAAUCCAUGAAGCUCACCUUUGCUGAUGAGCUUAUCCUGCGCAAAAGAGGCUUAUUGAGCCGGUACAAUCCUGAGGGGCUGCUGAACCUGGUGUGGCUAAACAACACUAAGGCCUUUGGACACUGCACGGGUUUCCACGGGUCUACCCUCAAGUGGGGAGACAUCCGGCUGCGGGUGACAGAGACUGGGUUGGAGUACCUGGAGUGGAUGGGGCCAGACAAUGGAGACGUCAGCGCCAAGAGCAAGAGAGGCGGGACGGACUCCCGGGUGUAUGCCACACAGCACUCCCCCCAGACCUGCCCCGUGCAGGACUACAAGGAGUACGCCCAGAGGCGCCCUCCGGCCAUGCGCUACGAGGAUGCGCCUUUUUACCUGUCCAUCAAACCCGUCGUCAACUUGGCCGCGCUUCACUGGUACAACUGCCAAGCCCUCGGGAAAAACAAGCUUGCCAAGAUGGUAAAGACGAUGUGUGAGAAAGGCAACAUCCCCGGCCGGAAGACCAACUUCAGUGUCUACCAGAGCUGUAGCACCCUCUCAGAAGCACAGAGCAACCAGCUGGUGCUGAUCUGCAAUAACUUGAGCCAGCAGGCGGCCCAGUCCAUGGCAAGCCACUCCAAUACUGGCAACUUCAUAGUGUCAGCAUCCUAUGACUCUUCAUCUGACACGGCCUGAAAGAGGGAUAUGACCUGAACACUUUUUUCUUUUCCUUUUUGUUUCAAACAUUGAAUUUGUGCUCAAUAAUACACAUCAACUGUGAUUGUACACUAUUCCCCCCAUAGCCCUCUCUCCAGUGUUAAAUCACUUUAUAAAAAUAUAUAAAUAUAUAAUAUAUUUUUCUUUUUACAAAUAAGUCAACAGAAAUAGUUUAGUAUUACUAACAUAGUAUUUAUAGUGUUAAUACAAAAAUGAAAGGUACUUAUGGAUUCUAAUAUAAAUGCAGAUUUUAAAAGGAUAAAAAUGGUUCUCAGGCAACACAAGAUAGACUGAAAAUACCCUCUGAAAAUACCAUUUUUAACAUACAUAUAUUAGUGAGUGUAAAUCCCCAGAGAGGCUUACGUAGCAAUUCUGUUUCAAAGCAUUUUUUCAACUUGGUAUUUUAACAUGGCCUCCCACUGUGGAGGAGACAGACUUUACACUGGCUGCUGCUUCUUACCUACUGGCUUAUUCUUGAUCAGCAAGACCAAGAAAUAAGAAAUACAUCAAUAGCCAGCAUGACUGUCACUGCACCAUUCUCCAAACAAAGAGCCCGGGGGCAGCUUGCCAAGGACACUGCUAUCAGCUGGGCAUCUGCAAGCCAAGAAAGGGGAAGGAUCUAAGCACAACUAAAUGAUGAUGCCUUCCCAUGGACAGCAUGUGACAAACACAUGAAGCUGCGCUGUGUCUCCUCAACAGCUUUUGAAGUCUACCAGCCAGGAAUCAGUGAUCCACCUCUUUCACAGAAGCAUAACUUCAGCCAGCAAGGGAGUGGCCAUUCUGAGGACAAGCUGGGGUUCUCUGAGCCUCCAGUGAGUUGCAUGGUUGCACUGCUUCCAGCUUCACUCAUGCAAACCAGGUUGUGCCAGUUCCUCCCCACUGCUCUCUGGCUGAUGUCCCGUGAAGCUCUGCUGACAUUGUUCCCCAGCACCUUGACUCUUCCUGAAAGCAGCAGAGAGGCGUUUACAAAUGCUAUAAAGCCCCACAGCCUAGACACACCUGUGAGCUUAUUGAAAAGUUUGACACUAUCCACUCACUGGAACAUAUUUGAAGCAGUGGUGAUGUCUAAAGCUUUAAUACCUACUCUGAUGGGGGGGAAGAUUGGUUUGGUAUAAAAUUUUCUCAUUACAUGGACUGAUGGAUCUCUGUCUCAAGCAAUUAAUUUAUUCCCUCUGUUUUCUCACUGAAUUGGUUAAUGUUAGUUGGUAAUGCAGACAAAAUUAUUUUUAUUUUAUUCUACAAAUGCCACUAAAUGAGUUGUUGUCUCUGUGUUGGAAAUGGACUUACUGUUUCAAAGGGAUUAGGAUGCUUUUGGCUAAUCUUUUAUUCUUUGUGCUCAGCAUUCACUACACAGCAGUUAGUAGUAUCUGAAAAAAACCAAUACAUUUUCAGAUUUCAAUUUGAUCUUUUGUAAUUAAUAGAGGUUUCUUUCACAGUAUUUAAGAUACUGGUGAAGUAGGUGCUAUCUUUGAAAUUCAGUGGGAUUAAGUUUCAGUGGGAAUAAGAAGAGAUGUUUAGCUCUUUUAAACAAUGCUUUGGAAAUCCAUGUAUGAGUUCUUUUUCAUUAGUACUGUUUUAUACAGUCCAUAAGUAUCAAGAAAAUAACAAAACAGCCAAAUGAAGGGAAAAACAUCAAGAAAAUGCAGAAUGUUCAGGACAAAAAUAUUGUAUUAUUCCUACACCAGAAAACAAAACUCUUAAAAUUAAUUUUACAGAUACUAUCUUUGCCACUUCAGCUGCCCCCUUUUUUUUUUUUUUUUUUGUGAACAAAGACAGCUUUCUGACAUUCCUCAUGCCUAGAAUUUGAUCUGCUCCCUGAAGGCUGUAAUCUUGUUGAAAUGGCCCUCCUUACCAUUAGAGCAUGUUCUCAGCUGGCCUGCAUCUUGUGUAGCCCUAAGUAGUCCCUGGUCUGCCCUGCAUUGCUCCUGCCAGGAUUCCUCAUUCUCUUUUCUUAUCACCCAUUUAAUACACUUACUGUAUGUAAAUUUCCAGCCUGAAAACAAGGCAAUGCAGGAGACACUGCUGUAGUAUCUCCUGUGGUGGAUAUAGCAGGCAAGGCAAUAGUAAAUAGCUUUGAACUGAUUUUGGUAGAGAGAAAAUUAUCCUAGUGACUCUGAGACUGAAGGUGCACUGAGUGAUGACUGCAGUGUCAAUUGCUUUGUGGAGACCUUUGUUUUCUACCUGGACCUUACGGUUCAGAUCUUGCAAGCUUUGCCUUCUUCAGGAGCUUUCUCUGUGAGAAACUUGAAAGAUGGGGUUCCUCUGCCCAAGGCUGGGUGCAUGGACAGGAAAUGCAGGUGCAGAAGUAUCCAGAGCAUUCAGAAUGUGCAGACAAAAACAUCUUAAAGGAAUCUGAAAGCUGUGAGGGGAGGAAGUGGUGAGAACCUGAUUUUGCACCUAUUUAUGGCAAGCUGGGUGGUGUUGCUGCCAGAGAGAAUUUGGUGCCAGUUCUGCGGAGAGCCGUGGGAAAUGCAUCCCGUGCCCUCUGCUCCCACCCAGCUCAGGCUAUUAUUGCACUUCCCUCCAGGCAUAGGACUAGCCCCAUUGAAACAGAAGCUUUCCUGAGGUAGGCAGGAAAGGACAUCCCUCAGACACUGUUGUGUUGUCAGUGCUUGCUUUUGUCCAUGUGACCCAUCUGUCUCAGGAUUGUCUUUGAGACCUGUCAGGGUAGACCAAAUAUUCCAGACUUGAAGAAAAAGAAGUCGCAGACUAUCGAAAUGCAACAAAGGUUGUGGAAAGGCAGUGGGAAAGCCUGGUAAACACAAUGGAAUUUUUUGUCUUUUUUAUUAAAGAAGGCAGGCAUAAUCCUUAUCCUUUAAUAUCCUACUUUGUUUUACACUGGAAUUAGAAAAUAAUUUCCAUUUUGUUUAAUUGUCUUCAGCGUUUAACUCUGACUUUGAAAAGCAUUUUUACUAUGACAGCCCUUGGUCUCAUGGCAAGCAGUGCUAGGAGAAACAGCUAAAGCAAGGCUUUUAUCUUUCCCUGCAUGCAAUGUUUAAUCUUUCUAAUCUAUUAACAUGAAUGUAUUUCCUGCCAUUUUGUAAAUUGACAAGAUUAGCACUGUUUCUUUCAAAAUAGCAGUUGAAAAACAUAUUUUGCUUAAACAUAACCAAAUUUCCACCUAACAAUGUGAAUUUUCCAUAGUGACCAAUCCAUUCUUAGAGUUAAAACUCUAAGGCUAAUGCUCACUCACUGACUUUACAACUUGUGGGGUUUUUUAAGAAUAGUUUGUAAGAAAGUAGAUUUUUGUUAAGUCUUUUGUUUUGUUAAAAAAAUUUCACUGUCUUGCCGAAUAAUAAUAAUAAUAACAAUAAUAAUAAUAAUUCUAUGCAUUGUGUGAUUCAGUGAUGUUGCUGUUGAAAUGUUGCAUGUUUUCUCAAUGUUCUGACAUUUGUGUAUAUAUGUGAUACUUGUAAAAGUCCUAACCAUUGCUGCUAUAAUUACCACCAUUUUAGGUAAGUGAAAACUGUACUAUGAAACUGUGCCAGUUAGCAGAAUUUUUGUGUGUCAUGCUAAAACUCUGCAUUCUGCUGAUCAUUUCUUGUUUUAUGACAGUAUUUAGUGCCUUCUGUAGAAGGAAUCAAUAUGUUGUGGUAGAUGGGAGAUGCCAAACUUCUAAUAUCUUUUUCUGCACAGAUGAUCACUUACCAGCUUGAAGUUUAAAAAAAAAAAAAGGAAAAAGAAGAAAAAAUAAUAUUUAACUCUCCAUCUUUCUUUAAAGUAUAUUCUUAAUGAUUCUUGCUUGGAGAAAAAGAAAGCUUUAAUAGAGCUGAAAAGAAGCCAUCUUCUUCUGCUACACCUCCUGCAGCAGCAGUCCGAUAGCUGGAGGGAAUGCAUAGUAUCCAAAUGUUUCUGUUGGUGAUGGAUCCAGUGAAUAGCCAAGCCUCUUCAAGUCAUUGCAGAGCAUGCUAAAGCGCCAUUUAAUGACAGCAGUCCUCUGUUCUUGCAGCAUGAGCUGACAAGAGUUAGCCUGGUCGAGUGGUGGAUUCCGGUUUGUUCUACUUCUGCUGAAGCCACACAUUGCUGCCAAAUGAGACUUGGAUGAAAAUCAAGCCCAAGAUUUUUGGUCUUUUUCUUUCUAAGAACAUGGCAGAAAAGCCCUGUUUAUCAAAAUUCUGACAUUGCAUUUUCAGUUCUCCUUCUACCC